AACAAACGCUGGCGGCGUGCCUAAUACAUGCAAGUCGAACGGGGUAGCAAUACCUAGUGGCGCACGGGUGAGGAACGCGUGGAUAGUCUGCCUUAGAGUGGGGGAUAACUAGUCGAAAGAUUAGCUAAUACCGCAUAAGACCACAGGAGCUGCGGCUCUAGGGGUCAAAGGUUUUUCGCUCUAAGAUGAGUCCGCGUAAGAUUAGCUAGUUGGUGAGGUAACGGCUCACCAAGGCGACGAUCUUUAACUGGUCUGAGAGGAUGAUCAGUCACACUGGAACUGAUACACGGGCCAGACUCCUACGGGAGGCAGCAGUAGGGAAUAUUGCACAAUGGAGGAAACUCUGAUGCAGCGACGCCGCGUGAGUCAUGAAGGCCUUCGGGUCGUAAAGCUCUGUCGCAGGGGAAUAACACAAUGAAUGUACCCUGGAAGAAAGGAUCGGCUAUCUUCGUGCCAGCAGCCGCAGUAAAAC
rnacentral:rRNA from 1 species